GACUGGCUUUGUACAUUAGGACAUUUCUCUUUUAAGCAAACUUCCAUUUAAAUUGCAUUUGCUCUUUCCUUUGUUUUCUGCAGCCGGAUCGUGGUAAUCAGCACACAGAGCCAAAAUGAGAAGAGACACUUUGACUGGAGUCAACCUUCCAACUACCAGAAUUGCUCCUUCUGUCACUCGUUUUCUAACGGGCAAUCACUCAGCUGAGACAUUUAAUUAGCCCUAAACAGGGAGCCAGAACGAUCAACAACCAGAAACAAUUCAAAUGCAGUUGCUUUGAGUGGAACAUUGGAAAGAGAAUGAGUUGAAGUCGGUCUGCAUAGACGUAAAUGCUGGAUUUAUUUUGCUUUUUCUUUCUAAAUGUGGGAUUCCUUUUCACCAAAGUGAUAACAUCAGCAUUUGACAAAGGGAUGUUCUUUCAUUCAUUUCAUACUUUGAUUCCCUCAUGUACGUGUUUGGAAAACUCAUAAUCUGCUCUAAACUACCUGGAAUGCAUCUUGCACAUUCAGGAAAUACGUUUUAAACCUUUUUCUUCUUCAAUAAGUUAGAACCAAAACUUCACAAUUCAUCCCUCAAACUUUAUCCGUGGCUCCCACGAACCCCUCCCACCGUCAGCUAUUCGACCAAUCAUGGGCAAGCCUCUGAGCCGUCCUGGAUGCUUCAGGAGAAGCUCCUGCUGCCUAGAGAAGCACCGUGCUGGAGAUGGGGGACUGGGAGGCCAGGAGGGGGGCGUGGAGGGAGGAUAUGGAGAUGGCUAUGUCCCCCAACGAUCAAUUUAUGAUACCAUGUGCAUCAACCAACAGAUCGACAACCACCAUCACUCAGGAGGGUCAAUAAGACGUGAUUUUGGAGAAGGGAGUUGUGGUUACCCUGGCAGUGGCUCUCUAAGAGUAGGCAGGCCUCCUCCUGACAUCUUUGAUCCACAACCCCGUUCUUUAACGCCAAACCCCUCCUUCGUGCGACGUCUGGAUGAAAGAGCCAUCUACGAUUCAUUGAAACUUGCAGGUCAGGAUGUGGAUGGUGUUGGCUGUCAUUCUCCAGGACAUUAUAACCGAUCCGUUUCACCUGCUGUGUCUUCAUUCUCAGCACCCGGGAUAUCUUCCUCUUCAUCAAAGAAAUAUCACCAUCACCAUCAUCACCAUGGAGACAGCACAAAGAGCAGAGAUGGCCGGCAAUCCUGGAAGGUCCUGACGCCUCCAAAACACCUAGAAUGUGUUGAUCUUACCACAUCUGAGCUGAUAGAUAGAGGAGGAGUAUAUCUGAACCCUGGCCACUACAUUAUGCCUGGGGGUCAAUCCUCUUCUAUAGCCUCUCCACUUAUAUCGCCUUUUUCUGGCUCCCCUCUCUCAUCAGGAUACCACACCCCGGUCUUUUUCUCCCCAGCUAAACCUCGACCAAGUCAGACUCAGAGUUUACGUUGUUCUCCUCCUCAUGUCAUACAGCAAAGGCAUUACUCCCAAACCCAGAGCCUCAGGCUUUCCCCACCACAAGAGCUGAGACAUUCACCCUACCGCUCGCCGUUGGUCCAGCUGUCUGUCAAUGACCUUGAGCAAGACCUCAGGGAACGGGGAGGAGGAUGGGUUCGAAAUGAGCGUGAAAGGGAGUGGGAGAGGGAGAGGGAACGUGAGCUGGAACGAGGGUGGGCUCAGCGGGAGUGGGAACGGGAGCGGGAAAGAGGAAGAUUGGAGAGGGAGAGAGCAAGAGAGAGAGAGAGGAUGGAUACAUCAGGUUUAGGUACCUUUGGGUAUGGGCGAGGAGUUCCUAUGCGCUCAGAGAGAGACUCUGUGUUUUUGGAUCCAGACCAGGGUUUAGACACAACACCACUGUUGCUCCCACAACCUUCACCUUCACCUUCGCCAAGUGGAGCUCCUAGAAUGGGCACUGGUGCUGUGGGUAGGAACAGAGCAGGGUCAAAGGUAGGCCCUGAAAACAUUAGUGGGGGAAUGAUUUCAAAAUAUGACAAUGGCAAUAUGGUGUUUAUUGACAAUAAAUCUGGGUGUGUCUCUAGGGUAGUAAGUGAUAUUGGGGGUGGAAACAUGUCCGAAGCAGAAGUCAGAGCUGGAAUGCAUCAGAACCAUAGAGCUGACAGCUGGACCAAACAUGACAAUGUAUCCAGAACGAGCAUUAAAAAUAUGCCUGAAAGAAGAAUGGGAUCUCAGGUGAAAACCAGACCAGGGGGGCGCGAUAUGGAGGGAAAAGUGCAGUCUGGAGUAGAAAUGAAAGAUGUUUUUGAAAACAGAGACGGACAUAAAGGAUCGACAAAAAGUGGAGAAAGAAACACAAGGUGUGUCUCAAAACAUGAAUCAUUGGCAGAGGCUUUGCCUUUAAAUGAUGAUAACAGGGUGGGGUCAGGACAAACAGUUGGUACUCAAAGUCUGUCCUUAGUUGGAAUGAAAACAGAUCAUGGGACACAAAUGGACCCAAAAUUGAACUCACCACAGGUUGACAACAAAACCCAAACUGAAGUUGAAGUCGCACCUAAAGCUAAAACUGACCUUUGCCCGUCAACAGAGCCCCCUCGAGUUGAGGUUAAAAGUGAAAAAGAUGUCGAGACUGUUUCUAAACCCGAGGCAGAUCUCCAAACCAAGACUGAAAGUGAAAUUGAGAAUAAGACCAUCAGUGAAUCUGUUAUAGAUGCCAAAAAGAGCAAUAACGCCCAUGAUUGUGCUCAAAUAUGUAUUUCAGCUAUUGAGAAGGCUGGCAUUGCUACUGAAGAUCAAGUUGAGGAAAUUCCUUUGGAUGCUAAUAAAAUCCAAUCUGGGAAUGUGGAGAAAAGUUCAAGAUCCAAAAAGUCCAAAUCAUCUAAGUCCAGCUCCAGGAAUCGACCAGGUACGGCCACGGGACUGCGAUCAGGAGUACUAAGUCCUCGACCAAUCAGAGGCCUUAGAGAUCUAGAAUUAACAAACCCAGCAGAAGGUAUUGAGUCCACCUGGCCUCGCCGCGUCAUGGUGAGAAAGAGGACUGUUCGUCAAGGUGGAGCUCUCCACAAUCUCCCCAUUCUCCCCCCACUGCCAUCUGUCCUGUCUGCACUGGAGAAAAGAUACGGGCCCCUGCCAACGCGCUCAGGCCACAUCUCAGAGAACCCAAUAACAAGUGCCAUAAAUGUUACAAGCAUCAUUGGACGAUGUUCGUUUAAAGAACCCUCUCACGCAGAUAUCAUACAGAACAUCAGCUCUGUCGGCAGGGCUUCUCUAAAAGAACAAAACCUGGAGCACUGGAGGGUUAGCAGAGAGCAGGAAGAAUACAGGAGGUCACGGAGCAAAGAAAAGCAAGCAGAAGAAAACAGAGAAACACAGGAGAAAGUGGAGAUCAAAGAAAAGGAAGAGAAAACAAAAGAAAGCGGUGAAACAAAAAAGGAGGAGAAAUCGAUUAAAGAGAAAAAGAAGAUUAUUGUUGAUGUGGGACUUGUGAAAACGAGUCCUGGAGGAAAUCUGGAAAGGAAAGUUAAAGAUGAAGUCAUCGAAGGUGGUUGCAUUGAUAGAGAAAAGAAGGAAGUAGAAGAAGUAGAAGUAAUUGAUGUGAGGAUUAAUGUCGCAAUGCAGGAACAUCAUGGGUAUGGUUUGCAGGAGGUGGCUGUUGAACUACACAGAGCUGAAGAUGAGGAGGAGGAAGAUGAAGUAGCAGAUGAGAGGGGGGUUGAGGGGUGGGAUUCUGUCCUUGAGAUGGUAAACACCUUGUGGGACGAUGAUGACUGGGAGAAAGGCGGGGCCGAAGGGGGAGGAGAUACGGAUUUCCUCUCAGGCUCCCUGCAGCGUUGGCCUCUCCUGAGACCACCGGUGGGCUUUGGGGGCUCCCACCCCCCAUCCUCAGCAGCCUCAGAGCUCAGCCUGACAGAGUUAGAAAAGAGAGCGAAGGAGCUGGACACUGACCUCGAGCACCUCGACCUAUCUCAGCCUCUUAGGGACUCCCAAGAUGUUUAUCCAACACUUUUAGAGCCACCAAGGGAACGAGCGGACAUGUACCAGACCCACCCUGGACCGCAGAGAGACAAAGCCGCCCAUCUGUCAGGCCUAGGCAGUCGGUCCCAGGUCAGUUUGGAGCUCAAUGCUUUGGCCUCAUCUACCACAGAUGCUGAUAAAUCCUCUGCUGAGACGUCCACACUAGGUACUAGCUCAACUAAAGAGGACAGCUCUCCUGACUCCAACCUGACACUCGAGUCCGACUCCAGCGGCGUCUUUCUGUCCUUGUCCAACCAAAGCCAAGAGGAGACGGGCUCUGACAGCGACCAGCCAAUCAGUGGUUCCGACCUGGGCAGCAGCAACACGUCGUUGGAGAAGGACGGAGAUGAUGAUGGUUUGAAGGAAUGGGGGAGGGAGGAGAGCGCAGAGCUGCAGUGGUGCUACCCAAGUCUUCUCAACACAUCCCAACAAGACGUGGAAGGAGUUGGCGAGAGAAACGAUGAACACCUGGAGGGAGAUGAGAACAUAAGUAGAGAUGAUAAAAUUGGAAAAGUCUCCAUUAUCAAGACCCAAAAAGAACAUUCCGUUAUCAGGAGCUCUGUGACCCAAAAAGCUGUGAAAAGUGUGGAAACGGCGCCGAGGAAAAAAGUAACCCUGAUGGGAUUAGACUCGCCCCUACUCUCCAAAAAACACCUUUUAGAUCCCUAUCAGAAACCAAUCCGAACAUCAGGUCUGGACUGUGGAGACAUAGACCCGUUUGUCCAAUCAGAUAGCUUUGUUUACCUCGCAGUAUCUGCAAGAUCGCCCUCCAAGGGCCAUGCCCCGCCCACUGCAGGUCAAAUGUCCCCCCAUGGUACCAAACUGGACACGAUGCUAACAGGACAGGAACGUACAGAACAUGUGGAACAGCCCAAUGUAGAACCAGACACCAAAGUGGCUCACCUGGUCCCACAGAAACCAGAAGAAGGAGACUUCCUGUGCACGGACAGCUUCGUCUACCUGGCUGCACCAGCCUGCCUCCUGCUGGACCCCACAGGGAAAACAUCCUACAGCGGAAAAGAAUCAGACUCAGAGAGUUCAGGCUCUGGACCCGUGGACGUGUCCGUCCUCGGCUGUGGCUCAGUGGUGGAGGACAGUGACUGGGAUUCCGAUCUAUCUGACUCUGAUCCCACUCGAUCCUCCAGAUGUGCCGGCGUGGGCCGACAGAGGCGCCUGCCCACCGACCCUGACUGGGACACGUCGGAGGACACUCCAGGACCUGGAGAGCAGAGCGAUCCAUUCACCGAUGAAGGCACGAGCCACGACGCAGAGACGGUUACCAUGGAAACUACCAUGGAAACCCAAGCAUCCACUUCAGCAGAGAAGCCAGCAAUAGGAGAGCAGCACUCGACCAAGAAGGUGACGUGGCAGUUUAAACCGGCUCAGAGGUCGGUUUGCACAGGAAGCAGAAAAGAAAAGGAAGUCCCGCCUUCAUCUCAAAGCUUCACCGAGGUGGGUGCGAGGAAGACCUGUAGGCGUUCCUCCUCAUCUUCAUCGCAGUCGUCACCUUCAUCAUCGUCAUCUGGUUAAACCGGCAGAGAAGAUCAUUUUUUGGGGGAAGAUUUUCAGGAGUUUUAAAAAGAUUGAAACUCUUUUAAAGUUUGUGUAAAAAAAAACCUGAAGCUUGAACAUUUCUUCCAUUUUCGCUGCUGCCAUCGCCUCCUCUGACUGUGAACAUCAACUUUCUGUAGAUUACACCUCACAAUACUAUACACAACACCAGGGUUGGAGUCAAUUACAUUUUUCACUUUUUUAAUUAUAACUCAAUUACCUUAACAGUGACCUGCAUUUUUUUCCAAUUACAAUUACAAUUAAAAUUGCAAUUAUUAUUUUCCCCCUGAAUGUCAAUAACAAUUACAAAUACUGAGCAUUUAAUAAAUAAGCCCAGAAACAUAACUUUCCUCUUGUG
ensembl:lncRNA uncharacterized LOC114456877